AUUUCAUGUAGUUGUGAAUUUCCGUAUCCAACGUUUAACCUUCCAUCUUCUUUGAAUUUUUUUAUAAUUAGUAUUUUUAUUAUUAUUAGAUGAUAAAACAUGAAGGAUACUUUGUGCGUGACUUUUUUUUUAAUUUUUUCCUACAUUUUUCAAAUAAAAUAGACGGUUAAACAUUGGACACAGAAACCACAAUUACACUAAAA
rfam:Oryza meridionalis cultivar OR44 (W2112) chromosome 2, whole genome shotgun sequence.